rnacentral:snoRNA from 1 species
CCGAUUCAAGAUGAUGAACUCAUCUCCUACAUCCUCCAUGGCCUUGAUCAGGACUAUCAGCCCCUGGUCUCAGCUCUGGAUG